rnacentral:lncRNA from 1 species
GACGAGCCUUAUCCAUCCAGGCCGUGGACAGGCUGUAAAGGCAAAGGCAAAGCGUGUGAGCCUUACCGUCCAUUCAUUCAAAAGAAACGCUCCCUUUGGUCUUGACUACACAUGCUUAUGACUAGUGAUGUUUUCCCUUAACUUGUAAACCCUAAUGCCUCUUCUAUAAAUGAUGUAACCUCAUCUCAUAAUAAGAUUAGACAGUUCUAUCCUAUCAAUCUCUCUCUACACAUUUCCAUAAUGAUUCUCCAUUAGUCACUAAUCCUUUCUCUACUCAACCUAAAUCAUACUACUCUCUCAUAUACAACUCAGAUUCUCUAAAAGAUUUCAUUCUUCCCUUUUGGUAACUCACUCUCAUACCAUGUAUCAUUCUUGAUCAUGGCUCCUGCCUCAGCUCCAACUGAUUCCUUCCAUUCUUUAUCCAUGAUUGCUUCUUCAUAGCUUCUUGGAAUAUAGUUCUCAUCCAAGUUAACCAUGAAUGCACAAUGUUCUUCAGGGUAUUGAGCAAAGGAACACACAGCUUGAGAAGGAUGAUCCACAGCUUGGGCAUUGUAGUACACUCGCGUGUUUACCCAAGAGGAAGGAUCCUUUCUAAGCCUUGUGCUUCUCCUCAAUACUGGUUGUUCUUGCACUUGAACCAGCUCAUCUUGUAUAUGCGGUUCUUGUGCUUCAUCUCCUUGGUCUUGCUCACCUUGAUGAUGAGAACCUGAGUUGA